GACAGAGGGGGCAAGCGUUGCUCGGAAUUACUGGGCGUAAAGCGCACGUAGGCGGCUUGGUAUGUCGGGUGUGAAAUCCCCGGGCUCAACCUGGGAACUGCAUCCGAAACUGCCUUGCUAGAGUAUGGGAGAGGGAAGUGGAAUUUCCGGUGUAGCGGUGAAAUGCGUAGAUAUCGGAAGGAACAUCAGUGGCGAAGGCGACUUCCUGGACCAAUACUGACGCUCAGGUGCGAAAGCGUGGGGAGCAAACAGG
rnacentral:rRNA from 1 species